GGAAGGAGAAGUCGUAACAAGGUUUUCUGUAGGUGGGCCUGCGGAGGAUCCUUG
rnacentral:rRNA from 1 species